UGGGGAAUCUUGCACAAUGGGCGAAAGCCUGAUGCAGCAACGCCGCGUGAGGGACGAAUGCUUUCUGAGUUGUAAACCUCUUUCAGCAGGGACGAUUGUGACGGUACCUGCAGAAGAAGCACCGGCCAACUACGUGCCAGCAGCCGCGGUGAUACGUAGGGUGCAAGCGUUGUCCGGAUUUAUUGGGCGUAAAGAGCUCGUAGGCGGUUUGAUAAGUCGGAUGUGAAAUCUCCAGGCUCAACCUGGAGCUGCCAUUUGAUACUGUCAUGACUAGAGUUUGGUAGGGGAUCACGGAAUUCCUGGUGUAGCGGUGGAAUGCGCAGAUAUCAGGAGGAACACCAGUAGCGAAGGCGGUGAUCUGGGCCAAUACUGACGCUGAGGAGCGAAAGCGUGGGGAGCGAACAGG
rnacentral:rRNA from 1 species